rnacentral:rRNA from 1 species
UAUACAUGCAGUCGAGCGCAGGAAGCGAGCUGAUCCCCUUCGGGGGUGACGCUCGUGGAAUGAGCGGCGGACGGGUGAGUAACACGUGGGCAACCUGCCUGUAAGAUCGGAAUAACUCCGGGAAACCGGAGCUAAUGCCGGGUAACAUGUUCCUUCGCAUGAAGGAACAUUAAAAGAUGGCUUCUCGCUAUCACUUACAGAUGGGCCCGCGGCGCAUUAGCUAGUUGGUGAGGUAACGGCUCACCAAGGCAACGAUGCGUAGCCGACCUGAGAGGGUGAUCGGCCACACUGGGACUGAGACACGGCCCAGACUCCUACGGGAGGCAGCAGUAGGGAAUCUUCCGCAAUGGACGAAAGUCUGACGGAGCAACGCCGCGUGAACGAUGAAGGUCUUCGGAUCGUAAAGUUCUGUUGUUAGGGAAGAACAAGUACCGUGCGAAUAGAACGGUACCUUGACGGUACCUAACGAGGAAGCCCCGGCUAACUACGUGCCAGCAGCCGCGGUAAUACGUAGGGGGCAAGCGUUGUCCGGAAUUAUUGGGCGUAAAGCGCGCGCAGGCGGUUCCUUAAGUCUGAUGUGAAAGGCCACGGCUCAACCGUGGAGGGCCAUUGGAAACUGGGGAACUUGAGGACAGAAGAGGAGAGUGGAAUUCCACGUGUAGCGGUGAAAUGCGUAGAUAUGUGGAGGAACACCAGUGGCGAAGGCGACUCUCU